rnacentral:rRNA from 1 species
AACGCACCUUGCGCCCUUUGGUAUUCCGAAGGGCACACCUGUUUGAGUGUCGUGAAAUUCUCAACCCUCUUCACUUUUUUGGUGAAGCCAGGGCUUGGACUUGGAGGCUUUGCUGGCCGUUUUGAUUCGGUCUGGCUCCCCUUGAAUGUAUUAGCUUGGACUUGUUCCUAAGGCUUCAUGGCGUGAUAAUUAUCUACGCUUUGUAAUGUCUUUGGAAUAUCUAUGAGUCUAGCUUCUAACUGUCCUCUGGACAAUCUUUCAAUCUUUGACCUCAAAUCAGGUAGGACUACCCGCUGAACUUAA